rnacentral:tRNA from 1 species
GCAAAGGUGGUGGAAUCGGCAGACACGUACGUUUGAGGGGCGUAUGCCAGAUAUGGCAUGAGGGUUCAAGUCCCUUCCUUUGCA